UAUGAUACGAGAGCUUUGAGAUAUAACUUAUAAUUUGGUCACCUGAGUUAUAUGGAGCUAGUGGUGAAACCUCCUUCAAUA
rnacentral:ncRNA from 1 species